GAUGAACGCUGGCGGCGUGCCUAAUACAUGCAAGUCGAGCGAACGGACGAGAAGCUUGCUUUUCUGAUGUUAGCGGCGGACGGGUGAGUAACACGUGGAUAACCUACCUAUAAGACUGGGAUAACUUCGGGAAACCGGAGCUAAUACCGGAUAAUAUUUUGAACCGCAUGGUUCAAAAGUGAAAGACGGUCUUGCUGUCACUUAUAGAUGGAUCCGCGCUGCAUUAGCUAGUUGGUAAGGUAACGGCUUACCAAGGCAACGAUGCAUAGCCGACCUGAGAGGGUGAUCGGCCACACUGGAACUGAGACACGGUCCAGACUCCUACGGGAGGCAGCAGUAGGGAAUCUUCCGCAAUGGGCGGAAGCCUGACGGAACAACGCCGCGUGAGUGAUGAAGGUCUUCGGAUCGUAAAACUCUGUUAUUAGGGAAGAACAUAUGUGUAAGUAACUGUGCACAUCUUGACGGUACCUAAUCAGAAAGCCACGGCUAACUACGUG
rnacentral:rRNA from 1 species